UGAGGAAUAUUGGUCAAUGGGCGAGAGCCUGAACCAGCCAAGUCGCGUGAGGGAGGUACUGCCCUAUGGGUUGUAAACCUCUUUUGUCGGGGAGCAAAAGCCGGACGUGUCCGUCUGUGAGAGUACCCGAAGAAAAAGCAUCGGCUAACUCCGUGCC
rnacentral:rRNA from 1 species